AGUGAACGCUGGCGGUAGGCCUAACACAUGCAAGUCGAACGGCAGCACAGUAAGAGCUUGCUCUUACGGGUGGCGAGUGGCGGACGGGUGAGGAAUACAUCGGAAUCUACUUUUUCGUGGGGGAUAACGUAGGGAAACUUACGCUAAUACCGCAUACGACCUACGGGUGAAAGCAGGGGAUCUUCGGACCUUGCGCGAUUGAAUGAGCCGAUGUCGGAUUAGCUAGUUGGCGGGGUAAAGGCCCACCAAGGCGACGAUCCGUAGCUGGUCUGAGAGGAUGAUCAGCCACACUGGAACUGAGACACGGUCCAGACUCCUACGGGAGGCAGCAGUGGGGAAUAGUGGGCAAUGGGCGGAAGCCUGAUCCAGCCAUACCGCGUGGGUGAAGAAGGCCUUCGGGUUGUAAAGCCCUUUUGUUGGGAAAGAAAAGCAGCAGGUUAAUACCCCGCUGUUCUGACGGUACCCAAAGAAUAAGCACCGGCUAACUUCGUG
rnacentral:rRNA from 1 species